GACGAACGCUGGCGGCGUGCCUAAUACAUGCCAGUUGAGCGCUGAAGGUUGGUACUUGUACCAACUGGAUGAGCAGCGAACGGGUGAGUAACGCGUGGGGAAUCUGCCUUUGAGCGGGGGACAACAUUUGGAAACGAAUGCUAAUACCGCAUAAAAACUUUAAACACAAGUUUUAAGUUUGAAAGAUGCAAUUGCAUCACUCAAAGAUGAUCCCGCGUUGUAUUAGCUAGUUGGUGAGGUAAAGGCUCACCAAGGCGAUGAUGCAUAGCCGACCUGAGAGGGUGAUCGGCCACAUUGGGACUGAGACACGGCCCAAACUCCUACGGGAGGCAGCAGUAGGGAAUCUUCGGCAAUGGACGAAAGUCUGACCGAGCAACGCCGCGUGAGUGAAGAAGGUUUUCGGAUCGUAAAACUCUGUUGGUAGAGAAGAACGUUGGUGAGAGUGGAAAGCUCAUCAAGUGACGGUAACUACCCAGAAAGGGACGGCUAACUACGUG
rnacentral:rRNA from 1 species